rfam:Candidate divison MSBL1 archaeon SCGC-AAA259E17 AAA259E17_Contig_5, whole genome shotgun sequence.
GUGCCCGGAGAGGACACAGGCUUGCGGAGCCUGGAGCCCGGGUUCAAAUCCCGGCGGGCCCG